GACGAACGCUGGCGGCGUGCUUAACACAUGCAAGUCGAACGGAAAGGCCUCUUUCUUGGGGUACUCGAGUUGCGAACGGGGGAGUAACAAGUGAGUAACCUGCCCUUGUCUUUGGGAUAACUUCAGGCAACAGGGGCGAGUACCGAAUAGGAGCUCUUUCGCCCUGGUGGGGGGUGGAAAGUUGCGGCGGUUGGGGAUGGACUCGCGGUUUAUCAGCUUGUUGGUGGGGGAGUGGCUUGCCAAGGCUUUGACGAGAAGCCGGCCAGUGCAGGUGACCGGCCGCAUUGGCCCUGAGAUUCGGCCCCGACUCCUACGGGAAGAUGCUGUGGGGAAUAUUGCCCGAUGGGUGGAAGGCUGCUGCAGCAACGCCGUGUGUGGGAUGACGGCCUUCGGGUUGUAAACCGCUUUCGCUCAUGACGAAGCUUUGUUUGACGGUAGUGGGUAAAGAAGCACCGGCUAACUACGUG
rnacentral:rRNA from 1 species